AUCUGCUAAAUUUCUGUAAGAGCUAUGAUUACUAGGAUUGAUGCUACGACUGGUAAGAAUUAACGGAGCCUGAGAAGCGGUUACUAUGUCCAAGAAAGGCAGCAGGAGCGUAAAUUACCCACUUCCAGAACGGGGAGGUAGUGACGAAAAAUAACAAUAUGGGACACUUUUGAGACCCCGUGAUUGGAAUGACGAUCAAUUGGAAGGUAAGUCUGGUGCCAACAGCCGCAGUAAUUCCAGAUCCAAUAGCAUAU
rnacentral:rRNA from 1 species